GCAGAAUAUAUUAUUUAGGGGCGUUCAAAAGCCUUAUUAUUGGGGGUUAAAACUGGAACGGUAUAGAGGAGAAAGGGGAAUGAGAGGGUGGAUAGUUUAGGCUGUGGCUUUGUUUACACCACAAAAUAGUAAAGGUUUAUGGAGACAGAAUGAAGGUCAACGCAUAGUCACCCUGUAGUGGUGUGAAAAAAAGCUCCACCCAGCCUAGCUCGACAUUAUCC